rnacentral:rRNA from 1 species
UACGUAGGGGGCGAGCGUUUGUCCGGAAUCAUUGGGCGUAAAGAGCGUGUAGGCGGCUUGGCAAGUCUGACGUGAAAGCCCGCGGCUCAACCGCGGAUUGUCGUUGGAAACUGCCUCGCUAGAGUCCGGAAGAGGAGAGCGGAAUUCCUGGUGUAGCGGUGGAAUGCGCAGAUAUCAGGAAGAACACCCGUGGCGAAGGCGGCUCUCUGGGACGGUACUGACGCUGAGGUGCGAAAGCGUGGGGAGCAAACAGG